AGUUAAAGUCCCAAUAAGUCGGUGUGUUCCUUUAAGUUUUUAUAAUAAUGCCAAACGUACUUUGAUUUCCUCUUUGAGGGUUCUGUGUCUGAAUUUAGGUCGGACGUCUCACAAGACCUCUUCCACUUCUCCACGAUAUUGUCAAAAGAAUCUGAGUUUCAAAGAGUACUCGGACCCGGUGCCGGACCCAGCCUUUGUCCAGCUGUGGAGGCUCCAUUUUUCUGACGCUUCUCAGAAGCUUUGUCCUGUCAGUAAAUGGAGGCCACCAGGCUUGGCCAUCCUCCAUCCAAUUUUUUGCAAUGGGAGCCGUCUCCUUAUGCUCCUCAAAUUCCACUAUCAGGCCAUCUAACAAGUGGAUGCCAUAUGUGGUGGAGGACAACGGGUACUCAAAGAAAGAAUCCUGAUGCAUAAAGGCAGGGCCGGAUUGGGACUCAUUUUCAGCCCUGGAGUUUCAUGCCUUAGACCGGCCCACUUUAGUUCACGACUGACUAUAUUAAAAUAAUGUAAUUAAACCCUCAGAAUAUAAGUCUGCAAUAGGCGCACUGUU